CAUGUUGGGCACGUUUUUAAAAAAAAACAAAAAAAAAACGGGUGCCUUCUCGAGGCUGGACUUGGCAGAGACAGACGAGUAAAGGUGACAAACAGUAUUAAAACUGUGCGUCAGUUUUACGUAUAACCAUUGCACAGAAAAGAAUAGUUUAUAUUUUGUUUUUUGACCACAGCGGUUAAAGUGAGUUUGGGGCACUCGGCGCCUUCGCAAGCUAGCAACGUUAGCUCUGUGUUACUGUACACCUGCUACAGACCACUAGCAUCCACUCGUCAGCUGCAUCGUUCUGAGUCUGGGGCUUCUCCUAAUGCUCGGAGAUCUUCUGUGAGAGCUGCUGUAGGCCAUAUCCUCAUUCCCACAGACGUGAUGAAAGCAUUUCAUCUGCUCAUUUCAUCCAGGGUGGAAACCAAUUAUUGAGCAACACCCCCAAUAUCUAAGGCCGAACAUGGACUGGAGAUGCAAACUAUGUUCUACGUCCCUGGAUACCUCGGCAAAGUUAUUUACACGUUAUCGUUUGCAACACAGUCAGUAUUCAAGAGUCAGCCCACUGCCGUGCCUCUACAGCAAUUGCAUUUUUCAGUCAUUUAAUACAGUUAAAACCCAUCUUUCACAUUGUCAUACUGGCACAGGCAGACUUGAUGCAACUGAUGGAGCACAAGGACCACAUUUAUGUUUCACCUGUCCCUUGUGUGACUUUAAGAAGCCUUUUUCUAAGUCAAGAUUAUUUGGACACUUGAGAUGUCAUUUAAGAAAUCACGAGAUGGUUAUAUGCCCUUUCAAAAACCUCACCAUUGAUGCACUGUUUGUGACUAAUUUUAGUUGAAUUAUUGGUUGUGUUAGCUUUGAUUCUGUCGCAAUGUCUUUUUAUUCAAAGCUUUUAUAAUUUGUUGUUUAAUUUGUGUGUUUCUUUUUUUUUUAGUAACAAGACGGAUAAGCUUUCUUUGAAAAUUACCAUGGUCUUUCUGUUAAAUAACGUUUCAGUGACCUGCAUCACUGUUAAGCCUUUUUUUUCUGGCUAAACUGGUUUAUCGAAACUAUUCCCAAUGUUUUA